UACGUAGGGGGCGAGCGUUGUCCGGAAUCAUGGGCGUAAAGCGCGUGUAGGCGGCCCGGUAAGUCCGCUGUGAAAGUCCAGGGCUCAACCCUGGGAUGCCGGGUGGAUACUGUCGGGCUCGAGUCCGGAAGAGGCGAGUGGAAUCCUGGUGUAGCGGUGAAAUGCGCAGAUAUCAGGAGGAACACCAAUGGCGAAGGCAGCUCGCUGGGAC
rnacentral:rRNA from 1 species